rnacentral:rRNA from 1 species
AUGCAGCUUGUCUUGGGCGGCCAAACUGCGAUCUCGGUCACCGGGGAAGUAGGGCACUUCUUCCAUAACAGACAUGGACUACGGCAGGGCGACCCCAUGUCCCCGAUUUUGUUUAACUUUGUGGUCCAUGCUUUGGCGACUAUGCUUUGUAAAGCGACUGAGGCUGGCCACAUAAAAGGGGUGGUGGGACACCUCAUCCCAGGGGGAGUUUCUCAUUUGCAGUACGUGGACGACACGCUGCUACUUUUUCAGCCUGACCAUCGUAGCAUUGCUACGAUCAAAGCCAUCUUGCUCAACUUUGAGCUCAUGUCAGGGCUGAAAAUCAACUUCCAUAAAUGCGAAGUUCUUUCCAUGGGGGUGGAGCCUGCCGAGGGGCAGCGCAUUGUGGACUUGCUCAAUUGCAAAGUAAGGAAGUUCCCUUUUACCUACUUAGGUCUGCCCUUAGCUACCAAACGGCUAACGACAAACGAGUGGGAACCACUAUGUGCCAAGGUAGGGGGACGGGUGUGCCCAUGGCGUGGCAAAUUCCUAGCAUCGGCAGCGCGUCUGGUGCUCACUAACUCGAGUCUAUCCUCGCUGCCCAUGUUUGCCAUGGUCCUCUUCCUUCUAGCUGAAGGGGUCCAUGCCAAAAUGGACACGCCGCGUUCUCGUUUAUUUUGGGAAGGAACGGGCCCGAAACGCUAA